AACGCACCUUGCGCUCCUUGGUAUUCCGAGGAGCAUGCCUGUUUGAGUGUCAUUAAAUUCUCAACCUUCCAACUUUUAUUAGCUUGGUUAGGCUUGGAUGUGGGGGUUGCGGGCUUCAUUAAUGAGGUCGGCUCUCCUUAAAUGCAUUAGCGGAACUUUUGUGGACCGUCUAUUGGUGUGAUAAUUAUCUACGCCGUGGAUGUGAAGCAGCUUUAUGAAGUUCUGCUUCUAACCGUCCAUUGACUUGGACAAUUUUUGACAAUUUGACCUCAAAUCAGGUAGGACUACCCGCUGAACUUAA
rnacentral:misc_RNA from 3 species